GUGACUUUUAUGCUGCUGUGUUUCAGGUUUCAAGUCACAUGAACAUGAGGCAUCUGACGAACACUUCCCGAUUGACCGGGGACUGAAUUAAUGAUUGACAGUGAAAAUCUGGCCAUAUUCUAAGUUCUUGUUCUCCCUCAGGCCUCCGAGGAUCCGACUGAGACUGCCUGAGAGGAAUCGUGGAGUUAACAAAGUGUGCAUCAUCACACGCCGCCUUCCCAACAUCACAAGACUGAUUUGGAACCCGUUGGUGCACAUCACGCACGGCAGACGAGUCAAGAAGAAAUGACGUAAGGAGACGUAACGAGGCGGAAACAAACAAAGAGCGAGACUGGGAUGCCGGAGGAAAGGUGGAGCCGUUCUCAGCCUGCAUCUCUCACUUCUUCAUCUUGCCAUGGACUGAGAGUUGCUGUUGGGGUGCUUCCCUCGGCUCCGAGCUGGGAUGAUUUCCCGGCGCAGAGCAGAGGCCCUGUCGUGGGAUGUCUGGGAUGGUGCAGAAUAACGCUACAAGCCAACUUGCUGUCAGUUGUUUAUGUGUAUGUGACAAGGUCCUCCUCUUCAUGUUUUUUGACCCUCUGAGGAUGGCAGUGUCAGCAGCUGGUCGCUUAGAUCCAGGCUAAAGUAUUGUAUCUUAAUAAACGUUUAAUGGAUUGGCACCAACUCGUAUAAAGGCAUUCAUGUUCUCCAGUUGAUACAUCUGACCGACAAUGUGUUUCCAAACAACCACGAGGUUG